NNNNNNNNNNNNNNNNNNNNNNNNNNNNCCCUGGGGACACUGAGGACAUUGGGGACAUUGGGGACAUUUGGGACACGGGGGGGACUGAGGACAUUGGGGACAUUGAUGACACUGGGGACACUGGGGUGAUUUGGGGACAUUGGGGACAUUGGGGACCCUGGGGACAUUGGGGACACUGGGGGGAUUUGGGGACCCUGGGGACAUUGGGGUGAUUUGGGGACCCUGGGGACAUUGGGGUGAUUUGGGGACCCUGGGGACACCGGGGUGAUUUGGGGACAUUGGGGACAUUGAUGACACUGGGGACACCGGGGUGAUUUGGGGACAUUGGGGACACUGGGGUGAUUUGGGGACACCGGGGUGAUUUGGGGACCCUGGGGACACCGGGGUGAUUUGGGGACAUUGGGGACAUUGGGGACACGGGGCCGGCUGCGCGGCGUCCCCGCGGUGUCACCAUGAGGUCGGCGUGUCCCCAAUGUCCCCUCAGUGUCCCCAAUGUCCCCGAUGUCCCCAAUGUCCCCUCAGUGUCCCCGAUGUCCCCUGUGGCCGCCGUGUCCCCAGCGCUGUCCCCGCCGUGUCCCCAGGGGGGUGGAGCUGGUGGUGGAGGUGGCCCACCCGUGCGUGGCGCAGGAGCACGGCGAGGACAUCCUGGGACACGCCGACCUCAUGGUGACACCGCGGGGACGCCGCGCAGCCGGCCCCGUGUCCCCAAUGUCCCCAAUGUCCCCAAAUCACCCCGGUGUCCCCAGGGUCCCCAAAUCCCCCCAGUGUCCCCAGUGUCAUCAAUGUCCCCAAUGUCCCCAAUGUCCCCAGUGUCCCCAAUGUCCCCAAAUCACCCCAAAUGUCCCCAAUGUCCCCAAAUCCCCCCAGUGUCCCCAGGGUCCCCAAAUCACCCCAAUGUCCCCAAUGUGCCCAACCCUCCAUGUCCCCAAAACCCCUCAAUGUCCCCAAUGUCCCCAAUGUCCCCAGUGUCCCCAAUGUCCCCAAUCCCCACAGUGUCCCCAGUGUCAUCAAUGUCCCCAGUGUCCCUCAAUCCCUCCAUGUCCCCAGUGUCCCCCCGAUGUCCCCACUCCCCCAAUGUCCCCAUUGUCUGCAAUCCCCUCAAUGUCCCCGAUGUCCCCAACCCCCCCCCCAAUGUCCCCAAUGUCCCCAACCCCUCCGAUGUCCCCAGUGUACCCAAUGUCCCCCAUGUCCCUGAUGUCCCCAAUCCCCCCGAUGUCCCCAUUGUCCCCAAUCCCCCCAAUGUCCCCCCCAUGUCCCCGAUGUCCCCCCCAUGUCCCCGAUGUCCCCAAUGUCCCCGUUGGUGUCCCCAGCUGGGCUUGCCAUCGGCGCUGGCGGACGCCGGCACCGAGCCAAAUGUCCCCAAUGUCCCCAAUGUCCCCAAUGUCCCCGAUGUCCCCCAUGUCCCCGUCGGUGUCCCCAGCUGGGCUCGCCGUCGGCGCUGGCGGACGCCGGCACCGAGGGGC
rnacentral:lncRNA from 1 species